UUAAGUUCAGCGGGUAUCCCUACCUGAUCCGAGGUCAACCAUAGAAAAAUGGGGGGUUUUGGCAAGCCACCACCUGGACCCUAUAGCGAGAGAAUUACUACGCUUAGAGCCAGACGGCACCGCCACUGAUUUUAAGGGCCGCGAGACCGCGGGACCCCAAGACAAGCCGAGGCUUGAGUGGUUAUAAUGACGCUCGAACA
rnacentral:misc_RNA from 1 species